CAUUGCGCAUGCUCACAUUCCCGGGCUUGGCAGUGCUGUUUUUUCGUUCUUUGUGAAACCGGGUCGGUGGUGAGAUCGGGAUGGGGAGUAGGUUCUCGCCCCCUUGGACGGGGAGCCGGAGACGGAUUAUUCUCUGCGGGGCAACACCAACAAUUUUCCUUCGUUAGACAUGCGGUGAGAAGUUUAUUUGAAGAAAAACCCCCACUGGAAGCAAACCACAGCUGAAGACUAGGGAACAGCAACAAGUGAAUUGGCCCGAGGACUGAGAACAGCAACUGGAGAGAACAACUUUUCAUCAAGAGACUCAGAUUUCCCAGUGAUUCAGUCAGGAGAAAGUUUGGUCUGAAAUGGCUAACACGAGUGGACAUUAGUUUUAAGGUGCUUGGAAAUAGAUACCGAGGGGAUGUCAGAGAUACGUUGUUAUCAUGAGUCCCAAAGAAGGGUCAUGGCCGGAAAUGUUGAUUCCCAUCCAUAAAUGCUGCCUGACCUGCUGAACUUCUCCAGCACUUUGUGUGAAUUUCUCUUGAUUUCUUGCAUCUGCAGGUUCUCCUGUUUCCCAGAUAUUUAUAUGUUUAGUGAAAUAACAAGCCAGUAGUGGGGUUGUGUGGCUCUGUUGGUAAAAUAUUAAAUAAAAUCAUUAGAUAAGAGGAGGCCAUAGGGUUGGGUAGUGUAGAAUCUGUGGGUAGAAAUAAGGAACAGCAAAUGUACAAAAAAAUCCUUGAAUGGAAUUGUAUAGUGGCCCCAAAACAUCAUGUGGUCCACAAUUUACAAUGAGAGAUAGAAAAUGAGUGCCAAAAGAGCAAUGUUACAAUAUUCAUGGGGGAUUGUCAUGCAGGUGAUUAGGAAAAUCAGGAUGGUGUUGGUCUCAAGAGGAGGAAUUCCUAGAUUGCCUACAAGAUGCUUUUUUAGAGCAGCUCGUGGUUGAGCCCACUUGGGGAUCAGCUAUUCUGGAUUGGGUGAUGUAACAAACCGGAAUUAAUUAGGUCACUUAAUUUCAAGGAACCCUUUGGGACAAGUGAUCUUAAUAUGAUCAAAUUCACCCCGACAUUAGAGAAGGAGAAACUAAUGUCAGAUAUGAAUAAAAAUAUAAUUUGAGAGGCCUGAGAGAAAAUUUGGUCAAAAUUGAUUUGGAAAGAACACGGGCAGGGAUGAAAACAAAGCAGCAAUGGCUGGAAUUUCUGGAAGUGACGGGAUAUACACAUCACAAAGAGGAAGUAGUAUUCUAAAGGUAAGGUGACAAAACCGUAGCUGCUAAGAGAAACCAAAGACAACAUAAAGACGAAAGAGGGCACAGAACAAAAGUCACCAGGCAGUUAGAGAAUUGGGAAGUUUUAAAAAUGAACAGAAUGCAACUAAAAUCAUUAAGAAGGAAAAGAUGGAAUACUUAGGUGAGCUAGCCAGUAAUAUUAAAGAGGAUACCAUUUUUAAUUUCAGGUACAUAUAAUGUAAAAGUGAAACAGAAAUGGAUAUCAAGCCACUGGAGAAUGAUGCUGGAGAGGGAAUAAUGGGGAGAGGGUGAAAGGUGAUGGCUGAUGAACUGAAUAAGUAUCGUACUCUUUGGAAGACACUGGCAGGAGUAUGGAAGUCCCAGAUGUCAGUGGUCAGAAUGUGCAAUGUCACGUUACUCAGGAGUAAGUAGAAGGAAAGGCAAUGGGCUGUGAUUUUUUUUAAUGGAAGGAGAAAUCGAUAUUCAUGCCUUCAGGUUGGAGCUAUGCAGUUGGAAUAUGAUGUGUUUCUCUUCAACCCUGAGGGUGUCAAGUGGAUCAACUCCUGCCAUUGCUAUUCUGCCAUCAUCCCUGCCAGUGUAGCCUUCCAAUCAAUUUUGGUAAGCUCUUCUCCAGUGCCUCUGUAGUUCCCCUCACUCCACUAAUAAUGAUGCAUCUUGUUUUACCUUUCCCCUCUCAAAGUGAAGGGUGAAUUCAGUCAUGAUAUUAUCAUUAUCACCUGCUCCCUUUACCAAAAGCUCCCCAAUCAAAUUUGGUUCAUUCCAGAAUUAACUUUUCCGCAGUGGGCACAAUUGCAAAGGAAAGGUAGGUCACAUCUGGGAUUUUCAAUUUAGCGGGCGAUUUCCUCUGACGUAUUGGGAAAUCGUGUGCGAGGCUAGUUACAGCAAUGGCUUCUCAUUGUUGUAUUUGCCUUCUGCCGGGUGAGAUAUUUUUUAAGAGAUCAUCAGCUCUUAAACCAGCAUGGAUGUAGAGCAUGCAAGGGUGCCGGCUGGAUUCGAACUCAGGACCUCCCGCCACUGAUGCCACUACGCCACCAGCCAGCUGCACAAUCCCAAGCUGUUCUGAAAGGCAUCUCAUUGGUAUUUUCCAAAUUCCCUCUCUUGAGAUCAAGCACCAAUCUAAUUUUCACAAUCAACCUUCACCCAUCCGACUCAUGGACUAUUUGUCUCUCUUCCAUCGGGGGUAGAUAUGCAGCGUCCUCACCAGGACUACCAGCCUCCGGGACAGCUACUUUUCCCAAGCAGUAAAGCUGAUAAAUAUCUCUACCCUCUAACCCAGCCUUCCGCAACACCAAACACCUCUGCUUUAUCGUUUCCUGUCUGUCAUCUUAAAUGCAGGCAUCCUAUGCCGAGCAUCACUUUAUGAACAUACCAUCAAUCCGUGCACAGUAUAUAAGCCGUGGAUAUAUGUUGUUACUGUUGUGUUUCUGUGUUGCAUUGGAACCGGAGUAAUAAUUAUUUCGACCUCAUUUACAUGUGUCUGCUGGAAAUGGAAUUAAACAACCCUGAAUCUUGAAUAAACAUUUCAGCAGGCUGAAGCGUCACAUUUUUGUCUCUCAGCGUUAUUGCGGCAGAGCGCCACCUGGUGACAAUGGAGUCCACUGUUACGAAUGUGCCACAACUCUGAGGGGCCGAAGGGUACAAAGUAGCCCCCUCAUUUUUGAGAAUCGCAAGAUCGCUAUUAAUUCGGGUCUGGGACCCAGGAAAUGAGAGAGAGACGUCCAGAAUACACACGGUUUGGAAUGUGUCCUGGCCUCCACAAGACAAAGCCACGGAUAACGGCCAUUGUCUCUGGGAGACGGAAUUGUGUAUUGAGUACUGAACUAUUCAUUGAAGCCCUCAGGGAAUGACCAGAGUGGGCUGGUUGAGGGAUUGCAUCAUCCCAACCUGACUGACAUCUGAAUCCCCGUGAGUAAGGAUAAAAGAGGGUCUGGGGAACAACCCCUUCAGACGCACCAGGAGAAACGCUAGGAAUCCCGUGACAGCGUUUAAUAGCGACAGCCGGUGGGGCUCGCGUGCGUCCUUUCCCUUGCCUGGGUUGGCGGGCUCACCACGGAAGAACGGCUUAGCUAAACGACUGGCUACACCAACGGAACUCUCGAUGGAUCGAAAUCAUAAAAAGGAAAAGCUGGCAAGUUUCUAAAAAUCUCUCUCUUGACUCCAACCAAAGGCUGCAGCCUGAAUGAACUGAGUGAGUUUUAUAUUUCCAUCGGACAAUACAUUAUCCCCUAGACAACGAAAGAGCUAUUUCUUAAUGAUUAUUAUUAUACCCGCACUUUUAGAUUUAGUAUUGACGACGUAUAUUAUCUGUAUGUUUGCAUUGAUAUUAUUUUUGUGUAUUUUUUUCUAAUAAAUACUGUUAAAAAUAGUA